UACGUAUGUCUCGAGCGUUACCCGGAAUCACUGGGUGUAAAGGGUUCGUAGGCGGUUUAAUAAGUUGGAUAUGAAAGACCGGAGCUCAACUUCGUGUUUGUGUUCAAAACUGUUAAACUAGAAUCAGGGAGAGGUAAGUAGAAUUCUAAGUGUAGGGGUGCAAUCCGUAGAUACUUAGAGGAAUACCAAAAGCGAAGGCAACUUACUGGAACUGUAUUGACGCUGAGGAACGAAAGCGUGGGUAGCGAAAAGGAUUAGAUACCCUUGUAGUCCACGCCCUAAACGAUGAUAACUAAGUGUUGCUCCUAGAGGGCAGUGCUGAAGCUAACGCAAUAAGUUAUCCACCUGAGGAGUACGGUCGCAAGAUUAAAACUCAAAGGAAUAGACGGGGACCCACACAAGCAGUGGAUCACGUGGUUUAAUUCGACAAUAAACGGGGAACCUUACCCAGACUUGACAUCCUAAGAAUCUUCUAGAGAUAGAAGAGUGCCUUUAUUGGAACUUAGUGACAGGUGCUGCAUGGUUGUCGUCAGCUCGUGCCUUGAGGUGUUCGGUUAAGUCCGUUAACGAGCGCAACCCAUGUCCUUAGUUAUUAUGUCUAAGGAGACUGCCUUGGUUAACAAGGAGGAAGGUGUGGAUGACGUCAAAUCAGCAUGGCUUUUACGUCUGGGGCUACACACAUGAUACAAUGGUAUGUACAAAGAGCAGCGAUAUGGUAACAUUGAGCGAAUCUUAAAAGCAUAUCUCAGUCCGGAUUGAGGUCUGAAACUCGACCUCAUGAAGUUGGAAUUGCUAGUAAUCGUGAAUCAGAUAUGUCACGGUGAAUAUGUUCCUGGGUCUUGUACUCACCGCCCGUCAUGGCAUGGGAGGUAGUAAUAUCGGAAGUCCCCCUGGUAAUAUGGGGGCCCAUGGUAGGACUACUGACUGGGCUAAAGUCGUAACAAGGUAUCCGUAGGAGAACCUGCGGAUG
rnacentral:rRNA from 1 species